rnacentral:rRNA from 1 species
GACGAACGCUGGCGGCGUGCUUAACACAUGCAAGUCGAACGGAAAGGCCCUGCUUUUGUGGGGUGCUCGAGUGGCGAACGGGUGAGUAACACGUGAGUAACCUGCCCUUGACUUUGGGAUAACUUCAGGAAACUGGGGCUAAUACCGGAUAGGAGCUCCUGCUGCAUGGUGGGGUUGAAAGUUUCGGCGGUUGGGAUGGACUCGCGGCUUAUCAGCUUGUUGGUGGGGUAGUGGCUUACCAAGGCUU